AUGUACUGAAAAUUAUCCACAAAACAAAGUCCUUCUAAUGUAAGCCUUUGUUGUUAGAUGUUAUUAUUAAUAGAGAUAUGAUCAUAAAUCUUUGUGUUCAAUUAAAUUACUAGUAAUGGUGCUCUUAGUACUCUUAGCAUACAUAAUGAUUAGUUUGUAUACUAUUUUUAGUACAUAAAACCUCACCAUAGAAAACCAUGUAUUAAUGACUCCAUAACAGUAGAUGGUUUUAAUAUUCCUCGGUUUAAAAAAAUACAUAUUUUACAGGCAACCUCUGAUGAAUGCUUUAGUCACAUCAUGGAAAGUAAUUAGUGCUUACCACACAAUGCCUCUGUGGUAUGGAUCUUGAACAUGAAGGCUACUGCAAGACUGCAUUUUGUUCUAAGUUACACGCUUGUACCAUAAAAGCUAACAAAAUGAAUGAAGUUAACUUUCAAACAGCUGUUGAUGAAGAGGUAGCUAAAUCAACAGAAAUUAGUGAACUUGAUGUUAUAACUACAGAUUCAGCAGCUGAUGAUCAUACUAAAACACAUAUGACACAAGAGCUUUCUACUAAUAAUAACACAGAACAUGUUUCAAAUGGCCAGUUCAGUCCUUCAUCUGAUUCAACAAAUAAAACUGGAUAUGAAAACAAGAACACAGUAGCAAAGCUGCACAAGUGUAAAAAGAAAUAUGAAUGUGAUGUGUGCCAUAAAACAUUUUUAAAUAGGAAAGAUUUAUCUAUGCAUAAAAUUCACUCUGGAGAAAAACCACACGAGUGUGGAGUGUGUCAUAAAAAAUUUAUUCACAGGCAACACUUGUAUAAUCAUACAAGAAUUCACAUCAUUGAUAAACCAUAUGAGUGUGAAGUAUGCUGCAAGAAGUUUUUUAAGAGAAAUGAUUUAUCUAUGCAUAAAAUUCACUCAGGAGAGAAACCUUUUGAGUGCGAAGUAUGUCAUAAAAAAUUUGCUUUUUUUACGAAUCUAACCAGACAUAACAAAACCCAUUCUGGGGAGAAAAUUGAAAAUAAUCAUUCAGUAGAUAAACCAUAUGAGUGUCGUGUAUGUCAUAAAAAGUUUAAUUACAUUAAGCAGUUGUACACUCAUAAUAUAUUUCAUUUUGUAGAUAAACCAUACAAGUGUGAAGUAUGUCACAAGAAGUUUUUUAAUAGGAAAUAUUUAUUAAUGCAUAAAAUUCACUCUGGAGAAAAACCUUAUGAGUGUGAAGUAUGCCACAAAAAAUUUCCUUUUAUUACAAAUCUAUCCAGACAUAAGAAAACUCAUUUUGAAGAAAAAUGUGAAGAAAUUUAUUCAAGUUUUAGAAUGGAUGUCAUUCAGUCAAUAGAAAAACCUUUUGAGUGUGAAGUAUGCCACAAAAAAUUUCCUUUUAUUACAAAUCUAUCCAGACAUAAGAAAACCCAUUUUGAAGAAAAAUGUGAAGAAACUUAUUCAAGUUUUAGAAUGGAUGUCAUUCAGUCAAUAGAAAAACCUCAUGAGUGUGAAGUAUGCCACUUAAAAUUUGCUUUAGUUAAUAAUCUAUCCAGACAUAAGAAAACUCAUGUAAUAGAAAAACCUGAAGAAAUGGAUUCAACUGUAAGAAAGAAACCAGACGACCUUCAUUCAAUAGAAAAACCUCAUGAGUGUGGCUUGUGUCAUAAAAAGUUUUACCGCAGGGAACAGUUAUAUUAUCAUAAUAGAAGUCAUGUAGGAGAUAAACCAUAUGAGUGUGAUGUCUGCCACAAAAAGUUUUCAGGAAAUGGUUUUUUAAAAAAGCAUAAGCUGACUCACACAGGACAGAAUCUGUUUCAGUGUAAUGUAUGUCACAGAAAGUUUGUCUUCAGCAAACACCUAGCACAGCAUAAACAAACUCACCAUGCAGUAAAAACACAUGAGUGUGAUUUUUGCCACGAAAAGUUUGUGUUUUUUAAGCAAUUAUUGCUGCAUAAAAAAUUUCACUCUGCUGAUAAAUAUUUCGAGUGUGGAUGGUGUCACAAAAAGUUUUUAAGGAAGGAUUCUUUGUCUCGACAUGAACAGACUCAUUCAGAAUAUAAUACAGAAGAAUGUCAUUUGUGCAAAAAAAAAUUUUUAAAUAGUUUCUUUCUGUCCAAACAUCUGUAUUUGCAUACAGUAAUGUUACCAGUGGCAAAAAAGUGUGGAAAAUGUGGAAAAAGGUUUACGAGGAGUGAUACUCUGCAGAAGCAUAAAGAAAUGCAUGCGGGUACAAGAAAUAAAAUACCUAAAAAGUUUGAAGUCCUCAAACAGGUUUUCUUGUAAUGAUAGUGUACACUUAGUGGAAACUUAGUAACUACAUAUGUGAUGUAAAAUUAGUUCAUUGUAAGUUAAGCAUGAAAUAGUGUGAUCCAGGACAAUAAACCAAAACUGGCAUGUGUUAAUUUAAAGGAAAUACCAUUAUCACAUCAACUUAGUAACUUUGAUUUAUGAUAUUUGCCAAAGUUUUCCUAAAACAGGCAGUUUUUGAACUUUUUCAGCUCAUUAAAACAGCAUACAAAAAUUACCAUUGCAACCAGUAAUGUGUAUAAUUUUGGAAAGUUGCAACCUCUGAUAAAUGCUUUAGUCACAUCAUGGAAAGUAAAUAGUGCUUACCACACAAUGCCUCUGUGGUAUGGAUCUUGAACAUGAAGGCUACUGCAAGACUGCAUUUUGUUCUAAGGUAUCAAUAGACAUGAUCAUACCUAAAGAGAGAAUUGCAAUUUGUGGGAUGAAAGACAGCUUCAUUAUCUCAAACAUGCUGACUCCAUUUUCUGGACUAGCACUUUUUCUGUAACUAUUAAAUAAAAAACUGAACAAAACAGAAAACUCAAGCUAAUUAUUAUUAGAAAUAUUAACUUCAAGCAGCUUCACUGAUCUAUUUGUUAUAGCAGGAGGUUGAAAGAAUUAUUAGAACGAGCCGACCCACAGCGAAUCAUACGCAGCUAUUUAGUUGUUGUUUUUUCUACUUUUCAGUUCUUCAUAAUUUGUGAAUUCGACACCACCAA